rnacentral:lncRNA from 1 species
ACAGUCAGCAGUCCUUGUAAGUUGCCAGGGCGUUAGACGAAACAUCCAUCUUUUUUUACCCCCUCGCAAGAAGAAAGGCAGCACUCGAAUCUCUAGUCUCUUUUAUCGCUGAUUAUGGACGAAGAGACUCAUCUCUUCCACUGCCUCUUAAAGACGAAGAGAUUCACCUUUCUACCCUCUCGCAAAAGGAAAGGUGACUACCUUGCUACACCUCAAAUGAGAAAAGGUAUGGC